rfam:Ovis aries breed Texel chromosome 13, whole genome shotgun sequence.
UCCCUUGUAGCUCAGUCAGUAAAGCAUCUGCGUGCAGUGCAGGAGACCCAGGUUCAGUCCCUGGGUUGGGAA